GAUGAACGCUGGCGGCGUGCCUAAUACAUGCAAGUCGAGCGAACGGACGAGAAUCUUGCUUCUCUGAGGUUAGCGGCGGACGGGUGAGUAACACGUGGAUAACCUACCUAUAAGACUGGGAUAACUUCGGGAAACCGGAGCUAGGACCGGAUGAUAUUUUGAACCGCAUGGUUCAAAAGUGAAAGACGGUCUUGCUGUCACUUAUAGAUGUAUCCGCGCUGCAUUAGCUAGUUGGUAAGGUAACGGCUUACCAAGGCAACGAUGCAUAGCCGACCUGAGAGGGUGAUCGGCCACACUGGAACUGAGACACGGUCCAGACUCCUACGGGAGGCAGCAGCAGGGAAUCUUCCGCAAUGGGAGAAAGCCUGACGGAGCAACGCCGCGUGAGUGAUGAAGGUCUUCGGAUCGUAAAACUCUGUUAUUAGGGAAGAACAUAUGUGUAAGUAACUGUGCAAACAUUGACGGUACCUAAUCAGAAAGCCACGGCUAACUACGUG
rnacentral:rRNA from 1 species